GCGCUGAUGGUUAAGUGGUAUAAUGGGGCCUUGCCAAGGCCCAGUCCCGGGUUCGAUUCCCGGUCGGCGCA
rnacentral:tRNA from 1 species